GAGAUAUAGAAUUGGGAACGACACCCUCUGUUCUUCUUUGUUCAUUGUUGUAAUUCAUUUCUCACCCUCUUCUUUUCAUCCAGAUUUAAGAAAUUAGUUCUCUAUUGCGGGUUAAAUCUUCUGAAACACUCCAUCGAUUUGCAGUAAAUUGGUUUCAACGGGAGUUUUAUUGGAAUUUUGUUAAUUUCUCAAUCAAUCGAUCAUCUCUUGUUUUUUUUCAUGUUUCGGAGAAACUGCAGGAUACUCUAACUUUCUCACAGGCAUACGAAGGUGACCUGAAAAACAUCAUGUAAUUACAGAAAUCAACGGGUGGGAAGUUUCAUCAUCAUAUAGAGGAGCAGCUUAAUUUUUAGAAGGACCCUGACUUGCACCUUCCAUGAAGUCUUGAAAGGCUUGAUGUCUCCGGGAAAAGCGUAGGACACAGCCAUUGCGAGGCGUGAUUGUUUUGGGUUUCGUAAAGGCCUUGAUAUUAAUGUGUAGCCCAAUAACAAUGAAGUCGGGUUUCUUUGAAAGAACGCGGAUACUUCACUAAACGGGUCGGGUAAUCUCGAUUUAUUCUUGACGGACGAAUUUGCCCUUCCGAAUUUUGAGAAACGUUUUAGAUUUGCUGGAAUUGAGUGGCAAUUUGAGUAAAUAUAUUGAGGAUUUUGGACAUUUUCCCAAACGUACUCCUCUUUUAAUUAUAUAGAGAUUGUAAUUUCAUAUAGAGAUGAGUAUUUACAAAAAAAAAUUCUUGUAGGAUAAAUAAUGAGAAAUUGAAAUCUUUAUAUAAUUGUGGUA